GUCAUAAUCUGCAAUAUUUUCCCGGGCGGAUGUAGAUUGUGAAGACGCCCCCUAAGCCAUAACCAAAAAGGGACUUUUCUCUCUUAAGUAAACUGAACUGAUUUUUUGAAUGUAUCACUGACUGAAGUGCUCUCUGUAUGUUUGUUGGUAAGAAAUGCUGAAUGAAGGGGAGGAGGAAACAA